AUGUGGAAAAGGGGACAGACCACUUGGGAAGAAUAUAGGGAUAUUGUCAGAGAAUGCAAGGAUGCAACAAGGAAGGUCAAGACCCAUUUGGAGUUAAAUCUGGCAAGGGAUGUCGAGGACAAGAAGAAGGGCUUUUUCAAAUAUCAGUAUCAGAGGAUGGCUAAAGAAAAUGUGAGCCUGCUGCUCAGUGAGGUGGGUGUCCUAGUGACAAAGGAUACAGAGAAGGCAGAAUUACUAAAUGCCUUUUUUGCUUCAGUCUUCACUGCUACGACCACCCCUCAGGAAUUUCUGGCCCUAGAGACAAUGAAGGAAGUCAGGAGAAAGGAGGACUUUCCCUUGGUCAGAGGAUCAGGCCAGAGAUCUCUUAGGCAAACAGAUUCAUGGGCCCAGAAGGGCCACAAGUGCAGGGAACAGACAGAUGUUAUUGCUAGCCCACUUUCCAUCAUCUUUGAAAGGUCAUGGAGAACAGACGUGCCUGAGGACUUGAAGAAAUCUCACGUCCCAUGUCUUCCAAAAGGGCAAGAAGGAAGACCCAGGAAACUACAGGACUGUCAGCUUCACCUUCAUCCCUGGAAAGGCAAUCAACUUUUGUUUCCAUGAUGCUGUUUUGAAAAUGAAGAUAUGAUCUAUUUCUGAUACAAUUUCUUCAUUGUUACCAAACAUGGAAAUGUCAGUGGUGAUUCAGGAAUAGAAAACGUAAGAUCUAUCAAGGAACUGUCUCUCUGCCUUCUUUCCAUUUCUGCUUUCAUGUGGGGUUUAUUCUUCACUCUGAACAAUUUGAAUUACAGUAGUCUCCUAGUCAAUAUGCAGAGCAUAAAGAACUUCCAUCUUGUCAUCAACACAUUCAUUAGAUUCUGUGUUUUAGUAAUGUUUAAAAAUAAGAUGUUUUUGGAAAUCAGAACUUGCUGCUUACUGUGUGAUCCUUCACAUAGUCACUGGAUAAUAUGCUUAACUAUCUUACAUGAGACUCUUGUAAUAACUUCAAAAAAGCAAUAACCAAGGUGCUCUGGUGACCCCUUUCAGUUUUCCUUCAGUGACUGACAAGAUUUAGACCAACAGCCCUUACUUGAAUCUAACUGGCUAACUUCUGUUUGACAUACGCUUUAG
rnacentral:lncRNA from 1 species